ACUGCUCUCUCCCAGGGAAGAUAAUUGAACUCAUUUAGUAAGACGGAACUGAGACGUUGAUUUGGAUUGACAUCAACAUCUAAAUGAAAUGAAGAUGGCGCAGCAUGCGAGCUAACUUAUUCGCCAUGCACUGAACUAUCUUCAACCAUGAUAGAGAAUCAGGAAAAACUCACAGAUCUCUCAAGAAACUACUCAAAAAUAGGUCGAUUAAGAUCACUGCUCUGAUACCAUAUUGGAAUUUGAAGGUGUACUUUUUAUUAUGAAGGAAUAAAGUACAAAGAUAGCUCAUAUAAAUAAGCGUAGAAAGAAGAAAGAAACAAGAAACACAAAAACAAUUUUUCCUUGAUUUAUGCCUAAUCACCUAACAACUAAAGCAAAAUCAGCAAUCCCUUGAAUUAAGGAGAAUGACAGCCAUACUUUAGUGAGAAUGACAGCCAUACUUUAGAUGUUAGACAGCACCCUCAUGUAUACACCCAUGCUACCUACCAACUAGGGUAAGAGACAAAUAACUAGACUAGAUCUUCUUCCAAAACCAUGGGAUAAGUAAAAUGUG
rnacentral:lncRNA from 1 species